UGAUAUGUCAGGGGAUGUUGACAUUAAGAUGGUUAAGAAGCAAGUCUAUCUGUAUGGUAAUGGUAGCAAUAAUCCAUCAUCAAGUUUAACUCGCGUCUGCAAGGUUCAAACUUUUAAUCAUGCUAUAGCUGUAAAAGCUCUUUAUAUAAAUUUGAGGAGUGAAUCGUGUAAUAAGAUUAAAAUAUCAUCACAGAACGAGACUCUGUUUAACUGUACAGAUGAACAACUUGUUAUAUUAAAUGAGGAGUUAGAUAUAACAGGAAACCAGAUUGAUAUAACAAUUCAUGAUCUGACACUACAGGCUGAUGAAUUCAUCUGGCUGGAAUUUCUUACGGAUGAUGAUGCUGACCUAGCUAUAAAGUGUGAGGAUGGUGGUAAAAAAUCAACUUUGAUCUACGUCGUCGUUUGUUCAGGAGGAUCUGUAGUCAUAAUUGUACUGGUGGUGAUUGUGGUUAAUAAGCGUAUUAAGAGUAAAGGGUCAAAGGUGAAUACGAUGUCCCAGAAUUGCACAACGGAACGACACGAGCCCAUAGAAGAACUAGAAGACCCAUCAAAUCCAUAUGCAGAACCAUGGGAAAUGACAUCAUUAUCAAGCACUGUCUGUCACUCUGAUGAAGGUGCAUCGCCACACUACUAUACUCUGGAGAGAGAUUGCAACAUUAACAAUGAUGCCACCGAGAUCCCUGAUAGUACAGAGAAAAAAUUCCUUACUCAACUAGAAAUAAAAAGACGAGAACACGACCAGGGAUACACGCAGGUGUGUAGGGGGGCCAAAAUUCAAACAUUUUGAUGCAGCGAGAGAAACAGUUAAGGAGAACAGUGGUUCACCUGUCCGUGACCACAUUUACUAAUCACCAUGUGUAUUCUUUAUCCUCCCAAUUUCCUACCCUCUACCAAAUUCCCACCCUCACGACUAGAGAAAGAUGAAAAUGUGUUCUAAACUCAAUUGAGCAAAGCCGAAUAUGAUGACUACAGUGUGUGUAAGAAAGGCUUAUAAUAUUUUAGAGUCAAAAAUAUUAUACACCUUUACUAGGUACCCUUUAAAUCUUGAGGCCCUAUGCUUCAGGUUACCAAGCCUAUACGUUAGGUAAAUCCACACUGACCUGACUAUACAUAAAGAAAAGUUAGGCUACUAUAUAAUCGUAAAGAAAUGAAAUUAGGUUUAACGUUUUCCUUUUCUGUGUAAACCUGUCUAAUGAGGACGGACAUCCAUACCAUGUGCUAUGAAAGAAAUUUGGCCCGGACACUAGCAACUACUACACACUUCUCCUUGCCAACCCUGCACCACUGACAAGGGGAAACCCUGCUACAAAACCCCAAUGAACUUUCUCGACAAACACCUCCUGGUAAGAGAGUCAGUGACAUCUUCAAUGAGCCACGGUUGCUACUUCGAUUUAAAGAACUUUUUAGUGUAGGGGUCGGGUUGGGUGGAAGCAAAAUGCACCUCUAUGUACAAAUAAGGCAAGUGCCCUGUUUUAUUACUGGUCAAGGCGGAAUAUAGCCCAAAAGCAUUUUCUCUAUCUAUGCAUCCACUUUAAAAUUUAAUUUAUACAUCAGUAUUAGCUGAGCUUUAUUUUACGCUGCACACAGUAUUAUUGAAUCACUUAAUAUGACUAUCAUUAAUGAUAAUAACGUAACUUUUUCAGCUUACCCAGACGAAAUUACUAAUCAUUACUAUUAUUCAAAACAGUACAUCAUAAUAUCCCUAUUCAACGUCUCAUUUUGACUUCAAUCGCGGGGCUAGAUCAUAAGAUCUGUCACUGAGACGAGUGGUGUGGUAUCGAUUCCCCAUUUGUACGUGACAAAGAGUAGGGUCGCCUGCCUAGUCUCUUUGGUUGUUCUCCGGGUUCAAUGGUUUCCCCUCACUGUUAAUAAAUCCCACGAGCAAGCGAAUUAUCGAAAUAUAACCGAACGAUGUGUUAGUCCCGAAAUGACUUAGUUUGUGUCAAGUAGACGUUAAACACCAUUUCUCACUCUCUGCCUUUCUUUCUUGACAUAUUAAAUCAAGAUCUUGUCCAACCAACAUCCAGUGUGGAGCUAUGGUGCUUCUCUUUCAAUUGCGUCUAUUUACGAAGUUAUCUUGCUAAUCGAGAAGUUUACGUUCUAGGUGGUGCAGGGAGACACGAGAUGAUUGUAAUUCAAACAGUGUAAAAGUUUAAACGGUUCAAAUCAUCAUUCAAUGCAACACUAUUACAAUGGAUUGUUAAAGCUAUGAGGAAUCUUCAAAUUAGAAGUGACGUUUGGUGUUUCAGAAAGAGUAAGCAUACACGGCAAUGUUUUCGAAAUUUCGCUUGAGCUGAAAGAUCUCCGCCACAGAUUGAGCAACAUGCUAUGUCUUGAUCAAUAAUAGUUUUAGUUAUCAUUCCUAUUAUCUAAAUCUUUAUAACGGCCAAUUGCACAAAAUGUAACAAGCAUCGGAUAAAUAUAUUGAAGGGAUUGAUCGUCUCGAUUUUUCUUCCAAGAUUUGUCUAAGGGAUAUAUAGACUAUGACGUCAUUUUUGCGGGUGAUUUUCUGAUCCGUGCACCCCAAAUUCAUAAAUAUUACAAAUAACAAUGUGAUUUACAUGCACGCCAUUGUGUACACGUGAUUUCGUUUUUGGUCCGAUUCAAACAACGGUUUCUUUCCAUGCCCGCCAACCCGCAUCUCUGAAACAUAGAAACUACGAUGGGAAAUCCUAAUCAACUUCCUGUCUAAUAUGCAACUAUGUCGGUAAUAAUUAAAAAGAAAAUGGGCAGCUGGACAGAACUGGUCAGAAAUUUAUUUAUCGAAGCAACGGAUUAAAGGACAUAAUUAUAUUUAUAUU